GCUGCAUGCUUACACAUGCAAGUCGAACGAGAAAGUACCUUCGGGUGCGAGUAUAGUGGCGGACGGGUGAGUAAUGCAUAGGAAUCUGCCCAGUAGUGGGGGACAACUCGGGGAAACUCGAGCUAAUACCGCAUACUUCCUACGGGAAAAAGACUUCGGUCGCUAUUGGAUGAGCCUAUGUCAGAUUAGCUUGUUGGUAGGGUAAUGGCCUACCAAGGCGACGAUCUGUAGCUGGUCUGAGAGGAUGAUCAGCCACACUGGGACUGAGACACGGCCCAGACUCCUACGGGAGGCAGCAGUGGGGAAUAUUGGACAAUGGGCGAAAGCCUGAUCCAGCAAUGCAGCGUGUGUGAAGAAGGCCUGAGGGUUGUAAAGCACUUUCAGUAGGGAAGAUAAUGACGGUACCUACAGAAGAAGCACCGGCUAACUCCG
rnacentral:rRNA from 1 species